UUUGCCGCCUGCCAUGUGAGAGGAGUGAUGGAUGCCCUGGGCUCCCCAGGGGUUGGAGGAGGACAGAGCUAAAGGAUGAACUGAGGAAAGAAGAGUUCUUAUUGGUCCUCUGGUAUUUGGUGACAUGAGGUGGUGGGAGAUGUCAUGGAACACUUUCCAGAAGUAAGGACAUUGGAGUAGAGCCUUUUAAAAGACCAUGGCAGGUUAGCCAUCCAGCACUGAGAAGUGGCACCUGGAAUGGAAAAAGKUGUCUACAACCUGACCCAGAGCUAGAGAUGUGCAGAUGUCAAGAAAAAAGAAAGUCUAUAAUAUGUCAAAAUAUACCCUACUGUCAUGUAUAUCUAAAAACAACAAAUUAAUAAAAAAAUCUAAAAUCCAA
rnacentral:lncRNA from 1 species